AGAAGCGCAUACGGUGGAUGCCUUGGCAGUCAGAGGCGAUGAAAGACGUGGUAGCCUGCGAAAAGCUUCGGGGAGUCGGCAAACAGACUUUGAUCCGGAGAUGUCUGAAUGGGGGAACCCAGCCAUCAUAAGAUGGUUAUCUUACGCUGAAUACAUAGGCGUAAGAGGCGAACCAGGGGAACUGAAACAUCUAAGUACCCUGAGGAAAAGAAAUCAACCGAGAUUCCCUUAGUAGUGGCGAGCGAACGGGGACUAGCCCUUAAGUGGCUUUGAGAUUAGCGGAACGCUCUGGAAAGUGCGGCCAUAGUGGGUGAUAGCCCUGUACGCGAAAAUCUCUUAGUCAUGAAAUCGAGUAGGACGGAGCACGAGAAACUUUGUCUGAAUAUGGGGGGACCAUCCUCCAAGGCUAAAUACUACUGACUGACCGAUAGUGAACUAGUACCGUGAGGGAAAGGCGAAAAGAACCCCGGAGAGGGGAGUGAAAUAGAUCCUGAAACCGUAUGCGUACAAGCAGUGGGAGCCCACUUUGUUGGGUGACUGCGUACCUUUUGUAUAAUGGGUCAGCGACUUAUUUUCAGUGGCGAGCUUAACCGAAUAGGGGAGGCGUAGCGAAAGCGAGUCUUAAUAGGGCGUCUAGUCGCUGGGAAUAGACCCGAAACCGGGCGAUCUAUCCAUGGGCAGGUUGAAGGUUGGGUAACACUAACUGGAGGACCGAACCGACUACCGUUGAAAAGUUAGCGGAUGACCUGUGGAUCGGAGUGAAAGGCUAAUCAAGCUCGGAGAUAGCUGGUUCUCCUCGAAAGCUAUUUAGGUAGCGCCUCAUGUAUCACUGUAGGGGGUAGAGCACUGUUUCGGCUAGGGGGUCAUCCCGACUUACCAAACCGAUGCAAACUCCGAAUACCUACAAGUGCCGAGCAUGGGAGACACACGGCGGGUGCUAACGUCCGUCGUGAAAAGGGAAACAACCCAGACCGUCAGCUAAGGUCCCAAAGUUAUGGUUAAGUGGGAAACGAUGUGGGAAGGCUUAGACAGCUAGGAGGUUGGCUUAGAAGCAGCCACCCUUUAAAGAAAGCGUAAUAGCUCACUAGUCGAGUCGGCCUGCGCGGAAGAUGUAACGGGGCUCAAACCAUACACCGAAGCUACGGGUAUCACGUAAGUGAUGCGGUAGAGGAGCGUUCUGUAAGCCUGUGAAGGUGAGUUGAGAAGCUUGCUGGAGGUAUCAGAAGUGCGAAUGCUGACAUGAGUAACGACAAUGGGUGUGAAAAACACCCACGCCGAAAGACCAAGGUUUCCUGCGCAACGUUAAUCGACGCAGGGUUAGUCGGUCCCUAAGGCGAGGCUGAAAAGCGUAGUCGAUGGAAAACAGGUUAAUAUUCCUGUACUUCUGGUUAUUGCGAUGGAGGGACGGAGAAGGCUAGGCCAGCUUGGCGUUGGUUGUCCAAGUUUAAGGUGGUAGGCUGAGAUCUUAGGUAAAUCCGGGAUCUUAAGGCCGAGAGCUGAUGACGAGCUAACUUUUAGUUAGCGAAGUGGUUGAUGCCAUGCUUCCAAGAAAAGCUUCUAAGCUUCAGGUAACCAGGAACCGUACCCCAAACCGACACAGGUGGUUGGGUAGAGAAUACCAAGGCGCUUGAGAGAACUCGGGUGAAGGAACUAGGCAAAAUGGCACCGUAACUUCGGGAGAAGGUGCGCCGGUGAGGGUGAAGGACUUGCUCCGUAAGCUCAUGCCGGUCGAAGAUACCAGGCCGCUGCGACUGUUUAUUAAAAACACAGCACUCUGCAAACACGAAAGUGGACGUAUAGGGUGUGACGCCUGCCCGGUGCCGGAAGGUUAAUUGAUGGGGUUAGCUAACGCGAAGCUCUUGAUCGAAGCCCCGGUAAACGGCGGCCGUAACUAUAACGGUCCUAAGGUAGCGAAAUUCCUUGUCGGGUAAGUUCCGACCUGCACGAAUGGCGUAACGAUGGCGGCGCUGUCUCCACCCGAGACUCAGUGAAAUUGAAAUCGCUGUGAAGAUGCAGUGUAUCCGCGGCUAGACGGAAAGACCCCGUGAACCUUUACUAUAGCUUUGCACUGGACUUUGAAUUUGCUUGUGUAGGAUAGGUGGGAGGCUUUGAAGCGUGGACGCCAGUCUGCGUGGAGCCAACCUUGAAAUACCACCCUGGCAACUUUGAGGUUCUAACUCAGGUCCGUUAUCCGGAUCGAGGACAGUGUAUGGUGGGUAGUUUGACUGGGGCGGUCUCCUCCUAAAGAGUAACGGAGGAGUACGAAGGUGCGCUCAGACCGGUCGGAAAUCGGUCGUAGAGUAUAAAGGCAAAAGCGCGCUUGACUGCGAGACAGACACGUCGAGCAGGUACGAAAGUAGGUCUUAGUGAUCCGGUGGUUCUGUAUGGAAGGGCCAUCGCUCAACGGAUAAAAGGUACUCCGGGGAUAACAGGCUGAUACCGCCCAAGAGUUCAUAUCGACGGCGGUGUUUGGCACCUCGAUGUCGGCUCAUCACAUCCUGGGGCUGAAGCCGGUCCCAAGGGUAUGGCUGUUCGCCAUUUAAAGUGGUACGCGAGCUGGGUUUAGAACGUCGUGAGACAGUUCGGUCCCUAUCUGCCGUGGACGUUUGAGAUUUGAGAGGGGCUGCUCCUAGUACGAGAGGACCGGAGUGGACGAACCUCUGGUGUUCCGGUUGUCACGCCAGUGGCAUUGCCGGGUAGCUAUGUUCGGAAUAGAUAACCGCUGAAAGCAUCUAAGCGGGAAACUAGCCUCAAGAUGAGAUCUCACUGGAACCUUGAGUUCCCUGAAGGGCCGUCGAAGACUACGACGUUGAUAGGUUGGGUGUGUAAGCGCUGUGAGGCGUUGAGCUAACCAAUACUAAUUGCCCGUGAGGCUUGACC
rnacentral:rRNA from 1 species